rnacentral:rRNA from 1 species
GUAGAGCACUGAAUGGGCUAGGGCAUACACCAAUGUACCAAACCCUAUCAAACUCCGAAUACCUUAUAUGUAAUCACAGCAGUCAGGCGGCGAGUGAUAAAAUCCGUCGUCAAGAGGGAAACAACCCAGACUACCAGCUAAGGUCCCUAAAUCUUACUUAAGUGGAAAACGAUGUGAAGUUACUUAAACAACCAGGAGGUUGGCUUAGAAGCAGCCAUCCUUUAAAGAAAGCGUAAUAGCUCACUGGUCUAGUGAUUUUGCGCGGAAAAUAUAACGGGGCUAAAGUAAGUACCGAAGCUGUAGACUUAGUUUACUAAGUGGUAGGAGAGCGUUCUAUUUGCGUCGAAGGUAUACCGGUAAGGAGUGCUGGAGCGAAUAGAAGUGAGCAUGCAGGCAUGAGUAGCGAUAAUUAAUGUGAGAAUCAUUAACGCCGUAAACCCAAGGUUUCCUACGCGAUGCUCGUCAUCGUAGGGUUAGUCGGGUCCUAAGUCGAGUCCGAAAGGGGUAGACGAUGGCAAAUUGGUUAAUAUUCCAAUACCAACAUUAGUGUGCGAUGGAAGGACGCUUAGGGCUAAGGGGGCUAGCGGAUGGAAGUGCUAGUCUAAGGUCGUAGGAGGUUAUACAGGCAAAUCCGUAUAACAAUACUCCGAGAACUGAAAGGCUUUUUGAAGUCUUCGGAUGGAUAGAAGAACCCCUGAUGCCGUCGAGCCAAGAAAAGUUUCUAAGUUUAGCUAAUGUUGCCCGUACCGUAAACCGACACAGGUGGGUGGGAUGAGUAUUCUAAGGCGCGUGGAAGAACUCUCUUUAAGGAACUCUGCAAAAUAGCACCGUAUCUUCGGUAUAAGGUGUGGUUCGCUUCGUAUUAGGAUUUACUCCGAAAGCGAAGAAACUUACAACAAAGAGUCCCUCCCGACUGUUUACCAAAAACACAGCACUCUGCUAACUCGUAAGAGGAUGUAUAGGGUGUGACGCCUGCCCGGUGCUCGAAGGUUAAUUGAUGGGGUUAGCAUUAGCGAAGCUCUUGAUCGAAGCCCGAGUAAACGGCGGCCGUAACUAUAACGGUCCUAAGGUAGCGAAAUUCCUUGUCGGUUAAAUACCGACCUGCAUGAAUGGCGUAACGAGAUGGGAGCUGUCUCAAAGAGGGAUCCAGUGAAAUUGUAGUGGAGGUGAAAAUUCCUCCUACCCGCGGCAAGACGGAAAGACCCCGUGGACCUUUACUACAGCUUGACACUGCUAUUUGGAUAAGAAUGUGCAGGAUAGGUGGGAGGCUUUGAGUAUAUGACGCCAGUUGUAUAUGAGCCAUUGUUGAGAUACCACUCUUUCUUAUUUGGGUAGCUAACCAGCUUGAGUUAUCCUCAAGUGGGACAAUGUCUGGUGGGUAGUUUGACUGGGGCGGUCGCCUCCCAAAUAAUAACGGAGGCUUACAAAGGUUGGCUCAGAACGGUUGGAAAUCGUUCGUAGAGUAUAAAGGUAUAAGCCAGCUUAACUGCAAGACAUACAAGUCAAGCAGAGACGAAAGUCGGUCUUAGUGAUCCGGUGGUUCUGUGUGGAAGGGCCAUCGCUCAAAGGAUAAAAGGUACCCCGGGGAUAACAGGCUGAUCUCCCCCAAGAGCUCACAUCGACGGGGAGGUUUGGCACCUCGAUGUCGGCUCAUCGCAUCCUGGGGCUGGAGCAGGUCCCAAGGGUAUGGCUGUUCGCCAUUUAAAGCGGUACGCGAGCUGGGUUCAGAACGUCGUGAGACAGUUCGGUCCCUAUCUGCCGUGGGCGUAAGAAGAUUGAAGAGAUUUGACCCUAGUACGAGAGGACCGGGUUGAACAAACCACUGGUGUAGCUGUUGUUCUGCCAAGAGCAUCGCAGCGUAGCUAAGUUUGGAAAGGAUAAACGCUGAAAGCAUCUAAGCGUGAAGCCAACUCUAAGAUGAAUCUUCUCUAAGCUCUCUAGAAGACUACUAGUUUGAUAGGCUGGGUGUGUAAUGGAUGAAAGUCCUUUAGCUGACCAGUACUAAUAGAGCGUUUGGCUUAUCUUUAAUAAAGCAU